UACGGAGGGUGCAAACGUUGCUCGGAAUCAUUGGGCGUAAAGCGCACGUAGGCGGCCUGAUAAGUCGGGUGUGAAAGCCCUGGGCUCAACCCAGGAAGUGCACUCGAAACUGUCAGGCUUGAAUAUGGAAGAGGGUCGCGGAAUUCCCGGUGUAGAGGUGAAAUUCGUAGAUAUCGGGAGGAACACCAGUGGCGAAGGCGGCGACCUGGGGCCAAUAUUUGGACGCUGAGGUGCGAAAGCGUGGGGAGCAAACAGG
rnacentral:rRNA from 1 species